UCAAACUUGGUCAUUUAGAGGAAGUAAAAGUCGUAACAAGGUUUCCGUAGGUGAACCUGCGGAAGGAUCAUUAACAAGGAGAGAGAGAGAGGAGUGAGGUGUCUACUUGCCUGCCUGAUCACUCGUGAGUGGGUGAGGGGGAGGGGCAGUGGUGCCAUCACAUUAAUCCCGUGGGUGCAUACUGUGGAUGGGGGUGGGGGUGAUGGUGACAUCAUGGCAUUAGCAUGUCAUGUGGUGCAAUCAUCUCUCUCAUUCCAUGGAUGCAGCCAUGGUGCACAUUACUGCUGAUUGAUUGGCUGAGCAAGAAAUGGCGUGACAAUUAUGAUACUUUACUUUUAACAAUGGAUCUCUAGGCUCCUGCAUCGAUGAAGAACGCAGC
rnacentral:misc_RNA from 1 species